rnacentral:rRNA from 1 species
GACGAAGGAUGCAAGCGUUAUCCGGAUUCAUUGGGUUUAAAGGGUGCGUAGGUGGGCUGGUAAGUCAGUGGUGAAAUCUCCAGGCUUAACUUGGAAACUGCCAUUGAUACUAUCAGUCUUGAAUACCGUGGAGGUCAACGGAAUAUGUCAUGUAGCGGUGAAAUGCUUAGAUAUGACAUAGAACACCAAUUGCGAAGGCAGCUGGCUACACGAAUAUUGACACUGAUGCACGAAAGCGUGGGGAUCAAACAGGA